rnacentral:lncRNA from 12 species
UCGUGAAUGAGCCACGAUACUGAUGUGGUGUAAUCUACAGGGUGAUCACCAUAGAAGUGCCUUCUGUGCCCAUCUAGGUUUUCAACGCUGUCAGUAAUAGCAGUACUGGAGCCUACAAAUCAUCUACUAAGAAUGUCUUGGCUAAUGUCCAUUUCUGAAUAGAGAAGUCAGAGAGUAACCUGCUGAACUUGGGAGAACACAAGAAUUAUUCCUGAAAGAGAUCAGAAUAUAUUUUGGGGAGAAAAAGUGAACAGAUGGAGAACAGACAUGGAGAUGCUACAGAGAUGACAGAGGCUAUUGGGGCAAUCAAGAUACAGAUAAUGGCUUUCGGACUCAGCAAACCCCAGUAGAGGGAGUGUGGCAUCAAUGGGGAGGAGUUCAAAAGCAAGUCUGAGGGAAAGCAAUAAACCACGUGAAAUGAGCAAGUGCACCCUGCUAUUAAAACCAUGGAGAAUUAAGAUGAGACUGGAAAAGAUGAUGGGAAACUAAUUUAUACGAGC